rnacentral:lncRNA from 1 species
CUUUCACUGGCUGCGCCGGGGGAUAUUGAGGGCAGGGUGAGUCAAGAAGAGGGAAAAAGUGGGAAAAGAGGUCUUGGGCACACGGUGGGAACAGGUCCCCUGCCCCCUCCCACAGGGGAUCCAUUCUUCUGGUAGGAGGGCAGAGGGCCAGGUUUGUGAGUGUGGGAUGGGAGGGUGCUGAACACUUGUAAGGAAGGGGGUGGGGUGGGGUGGCCUUGGCCCAUCAGCAGGUGCAUGGGAGGGGGAUCCCGGGCCUCUUUGCUGGCCCAGCAUAACCUGACACCAGCCCCCUGCCCUUCUAGCUAAAAGCCGGUUGCUAAGUUUAGCCUGCCUGGUGAUAAUCUUUGCUUAAAAAGCACCCACAGGACUCCAGUCCCUGACCCUGCCUUUCUGGGAUUGCCUUUCCUGCUGGGACCCAGAGCCAGGCUGUGUCCUCGUCUGGCUGCCACUGGCAUGGUUGGUGCGGGCUUUUCACAAUGACCACCCAGAGCAGAGUAGCAAGAGCAAGGCAAGAAGGUCCCUAAUGGUGAAAGGGGUGGGGUGGGGGAGUGGAGGAAGCCCCACCUCUGACUCAGCUAUUCCUGCAACCAGGACCGUUAACCCUUUCUCAUUGAGAGCAUUAAGAGCACCUCCAUGCUCCUGCACCACCCAAGCGUGAUCUUCCCCUCUGCCUCAUGCUUGUCAUUUUUCAUUACUGUCUUCUCCCCGCAAAGAGGGAGCUCAGUGCCCAGGGAGCACUACUGACGUAGUGUGCUGUUGUCAUGACAGCAGAGGCACCAGUGUGGUCACGACAGCCAGCUCACAGCCUCCGGUUCGAAGGUGACUCAGCAGAGAAGACUUGAGGAGCUGGAGAGGGGUGCGCAGGCUUCAGGGGGCAGCCCGCCUGCAGCAUAGCUCACGCCCUCUGCAGACCCGGGAACAAUGAGGAAUGCUGGGAGACAGGUCUUGUCUCCUGCAGAGCUGGAGGGGAUCAUGAUCUGAACUUCCACGAGCCUGGGCCGGUCUGCUGCCAACCUUUGGAGAUGGGAUUAGGGAACACGAGUGGGGGUGGGGUGAGGCACACGGCAGAAAGCAACCCUUGGUCUAGAGCAGGUUUUCUCAACUGUGACGCUAUUGACAUUGUGGGCCGUGUGAUUCUUUGUUGAGGGGCCAUCCUGUGCACUGCAGGAUGUUGAGCCACAUCCCUGGCCUCUUCCCACAAAUGCUGGUAGCAUUCUUCCCCUAUAGGCUAUGACAACAAAACAGGCCCCAGGUGUUGUCAGAUGUCCUCUGGCAGACAAAAUUGCCCCCGGUUCAGAAGCACUGAUCUGGAGCCUAGGCACUGCAUAAUUCUCCCCAGAGAGGCUGUCUGGUCACUGUGCAGGGUCCAGAGGUUGAGAGGGGAAAGGUGGCAGUGACGGGGCAGGAAGCUCAUCUGCCAUCCCGGGACAGGCCCUAGGACUCUGGGCUCACUCAUCUCUCUCUGCACUGAUAACCCUCUCUCUGCUGCAUGAAACUGGGCUAAUGUGAAAGAUGAAACAAAGACAAGCUUAGGAAAAAAUGUCUAAAAGUAUAUAAAAACAUUUAUUCAUUAGAAAACAAGGAGAUUGGCAAACAUAUAUUCCAAAGUUGAAGCAGCUCAACGCAGU